AGUGGCGCACGGGUGAGUAACGCGUGGGUAAUCUACCUCCGAAUUGGGAUAACAUUGCGAAAGCGGUGCUAAUACCGAAUAAUAUCCCUGGGACCCCGGUCUUGGUGAUCAAAGGUGGCCUCUACAUGUAAGCUACCGUUUGGAGAUGAGCCCGCGUACCAUUAGCUAGUUGGUAGGGUAACGGCCUACCAAGGCUGCGAUGGUUAGCUGGUCUGAGAGGAUGAUCAGCCACACUGGAACUGACACACGGUCCAGACUCCUACGGGAGGCAGCAGUGAGGAAUUUUGCGCAAUGGGGGAAACCCUGACGCAGCAACGCCGCGUGAGUGAUGAAGGCCUUCGGGUCGUAAAGCUCUGUCAAGUGGGAAGAACCUGCUCUGUGAUAACACCACGGGGCACCGACGGUACCACUGAAGGAAGCACCGGCUAACUCCGUGCCAGCAGCCGCGGUAAUACGGGGGGUGCUAGCGUUAUUCGGAAUCAUUGGGCGUAAAGGGCGCGUAGGCGGUCUUUUAAGUCAGAUGUGAAAGCCCUCGGCUUAACCGAGGAAGUGCAUUUGAUACUAAGAGCUUGAGUAUGGGAGAGGGAAGCGGAAUUCCUGGUGUAGCGGUGAAAUGCGUAGAUAUCAGGAGGAACACCGGUGGCGAAGGCGGCUUCCUGGACCAAUACUGACGCUGAGGCGCGAAGGCGUGGGGAGCAAA
rnacentral:rRNA from 1 species